rnacentral:rRNA from 1 species
AGUGAACGCUGGCGGUAGGCCUAGCACAUGCAAGUCGAACGGCAGCACAGUAAGAGCUUGCUCUUACGGGUGGCGAGUGGCGGACGGGUGAGGAAUACAUCGGAAUCUACUUUUUCGUGGGGGAUAACGUAGGGAAACUUACGCUAAUACCGCAUACGACCUACGGGUGAAAGCAGGGGAUCUUCGGACCUUGCGCGAUUGAAUGAGCCGAUGUCGGAUUAGCUAGUUGGCGGGGUAAAGGCCCACCAAGGCGACGAUCCGUAGCUGGUCUGAGAGGAUGAUCAGCCACACUGGAACUGAGACACGGUCCAGACUCCUACGGGGGGCAGCAGUGGGGAAUAUUGGACAAUGGGCGCAAGCCUGAUCCAGCCAUACCGCGUGGGUGAAGAAGGCCUUCGGGUUGUAAAGCCCUUUUGUUGGGAAAGAAAAGCAGCAGGUUAAUACCCCGCUAUUCUGACGGUACCCAAAGAAUAAGCACCGGCUAACUUCGUG